GCCGCCAAACGGAAAUAUGUCUCUCGCACAACCGCUGUUAUCAGUAGAUGGAGCAUUCCUUUAAGAACAUAAUUUAUGCAUUCUGCCAGGUUCGACGUCAUAUGGCCAUAUCGUAGGCCUCCGUCGUAUGCUUGUGCUCACUGUUCAAAACGUAUGUUGCAAAGGUAGUCCGCCCCUUCUCUGUUUUAGGAUUGCAAGAUUGCCAACAUCUCGUGGAAACGAUCUUUAUUCAUU
rnacentral:lncRNA from 1 species